rnacentral:tRNA from 1 species
GUGAACGUAGCUCAGUUGGUAGAGCCCCGGAUUGUGAUUCCGGUGGUCGUGGGUUCAAGCCCCAUCGUUCACCCA